rnacentral:rRNA from 1 species
CCUACGGGUGGCAGCAGUGAGGAAUAUUGGUCAAUGGACGAGAGUCUGAACCAGCCAAGUAGCGUGAAGGAUGACUGCCCUAUGGGUUGUAAACUUCUUUUAUAUGGGAAUAAAAUGUUCCACGUGUGGGAUUUUGUAUGUACCAUAUGAAUAAGGAUCGGCUAACUCCGUGCCAGCAGCCGCGGUAAUACGGAGGAUCCGAGCGUUAUCCGGAUUUAUUGGGUUUAAAGGGAGCGUAGGUGGAUUGUUAAGUCAGUUGUGAAAGUUUGCGGCUCAACCGGAAAAGUGCAGUUGAAACUGGCAGUCUUGAGUACAGUAGAGGUGGGCGGAAUUCGUGGUGUAGCGGUGAAAUGCGUAGAUAUCACGAAGAACUCCGAUUGCGAAGGCAGUUCACUGGACUGCAACUGACACUGAGGCUCGAAAGUGUGGGUAUCAAACAGGAUUAGAUACCCUAUAGUC